UGCGUAGGUGGUCGUUUAAGUCUGUUGUGAAAGCCCUGGGCUCAACCUGGGAACUGCAGUGGAAACUGGACGACUAGAGUGUGGUAGAGGGUAGCGGAAUUCCUGGUGUAGCAGUGAAAUGCGUAGAGAUCAGGAGGAACAUCCAUGGCGAAGGCAGCUACCUGGACCAACACUGACACUGAGGCACGAAAGCGUGGGGAGCAAACA
rnacentral:rRNA from 1 species